UACGGAGGAUCCAAGCGUUAUCCGGAUUCAUUGGGUUUAAAGGGUGCGUAGGCGGAUUUGUAAGUCAGUGGUGAAAGCCAACAGCUUAACUGUUGAACUGCCAUUGAUACUGCAAGUCUUGAGUACAUUUGAUGUGGGCGGAAUGUGUCAUGUAGCGGUGAAAUGCUUAGAUAUGACACAGAACACCGAUUGCGAAGGCAGCUCACAAAACUGUAACUGACGCUGAGGCACGACAGCGUGGGGAUCAAACAGG
rnacentral:rRNA from 1 species